GUAUUCGGAUCAACCGUGCCUGUUCUCACCCUGGGGUCUAUUUCAAAGAGAUGGAUUGUUCCUGGUUGGCGCCUAGGGUGGCUUGUCACAAGUGGUCCUAAUUGCAUUCUUCAAAAAUCUGGGAUAAUUGAUUCGAUCAUGGAAUACAUCAAUAUGUCUUCUGAGCCGGCAACAUUUAUUUAGGCAGCGAUUCCUCGAAUCCAUGAGAAUACAAAGAGGGAAUUUUUCUCAAACAAUAUCUGCAUGCUAAGCGAAUGUGCUGAUAUAUGCUAUAAUACAAUUGAGGAGAUACCAUUCUUAACAUGUCCAAAGUAACAAGAAGGAUCAAUGUUUGUCAUGGUGAAGCUGAACCUAUCAAUGUUGGAAGACAUCAAUGAUGAUAUGGAUUUCUGCUUGAAGUUAGCUAAAGAAGAUUCUGUCAUCAUUCCACCAGGUAGAGCAGUGGGAUUGGAGAAUUGGGCUUAGAUUACUUUUGCCA